GACAGAGGGUGCAAACGUUGCUCGGAAUCACUGGGCGUAAAGGGCGCGUAGGCGGCCUGGCAAGUGGAAGGUGAAAUCCCUCGGCUUAACCGAGGAACUGCCCUCCAAACUGCUUGGCUUGAGUCCGGGAGAGGUGAGUGGAAUUCCCAGUGUAGCGGUGAAAUGCGUAGAUAUUGGGAGGAACACCAGUGGCGAAGGCGGCUCACUGGACCGGAACUGACGCUGAGGCGCGAAAGCGUGGGGAGCAAACGGG
rnacentral:rRNA from 1 species